rnacentral:piRNA from 1 species
UGAUGUCCGGGCCUUGUGGAGCACAGCA